rnacentral:lncRNA from 1 species
AUAUUGUUCAUAUGUGUAGAUAUAAGUCCAUAUAUCUAGAUAUAAAUCCAUAUAUCUUACACACAAUAUAUAAUAGGAAAAUUUAGCUUGAAGCUUAAAAGGUCAUCAAGUACUUUAAACCCCAAGAUUUAGAACAAAAGUCAAAAGUCAGAAACCUCGGUAUUGGCAUUGAAGAUUUUCUCAGUGGGAUCAGCUGCAACCGCCGCAACUUUGGAAUAAUCUCGACAGGAGAAAGAACACAAAUGUCUUCCCAAUUCUGAGUUAACCCUAGCAAACUGGGAAAUAGCCUUGCUCCAUCUCGGCAACAUCCUUUUCGCAAUCAAAUCAAACACUACCAGAAACAAUGUUUGGUGUCAUAAUUCCCAAUAAAAACAGAAAAAAUAAAAACGUGCUUGAAAUACAUACAUUAGUUCAAACCACGGAAGAGAUUUUUACAAAUGACCAGAUAGUCAGAUACUAUGCUCUUGAGCUGUUGGAGCUGUGUUACGAUCGUUGAUUUUCAGAGGUUUAGGAAGGUAUUAUUAAACCCUCCUAAAUAAGAAAGAAAUUUGUUAGUUCAAUCGAACGGUCACGAGGAGCUUUUGGAAAGCGUGAGAUCUUAUUUCUGUAGCUAUGAUGAUU